rnacentral:rRNA from 1 species
UGCGUAGGCGGUUACUUAAGUAGGGUGUGAAAUGUCCCGGCUCAACCGGGGAAUGGCGCUCUAAACCAGGUGGCUUGAGUGAGAUAGAGGUGUGCGGAACUUCCGGUGGAGCGGUGAAAUGUGUUGAUAUCGGAGGGAGCACCAUUGGCGAAAGCGGCACACUGGGUCUCAACUGACGCUGAGGCACGAAAGCCAGGGGAAGGCAAACG